rnacentral:rRNA from 1 species
GAUGAACGCUGGCGGCGUGCCUAAUACAUGCAAGUCGAGCGAACGGACGAGAAGCUUGCUUCUCUGCUGUUAGCGGCGGACGGGUGAGUAACACGUGGAUCACCUUCCUAUAAUACUGGGAUAACUUCGGGAAGCCGGAUCUACUACCGGAUGAUAUUUUGAACCGCAUGGUUCAAAAGUGAAAGACGGUCUUGCUGUCUCUUAUAGAUGGAUCCGCGCUGCAUUAGCUAGUUGGUAAGGUAACGGCUUACCAAGGCAACGAUGCAUAGCCGACCUGAGAGGGUGAUCAGCCACACUGGAACUGAGACACGGUCCAGACUCCUACGGGAGGCAGCAGUAGGGAAUCUUCCGCAAUGGGCGAAAGCCUGACGGAGCAACACCGCGUGAGUGAUGAAGGUCUUCGGAUCGUAAAACUCUGUUAUUAGGGAAGAAAAGAUGUGUAAGAAACUGUGCACAUCUUGACGGUACCUAAACAGAAAGCCACGGCUAACUACGUG